rnacentral:rRNA from 1 species
GACGAACGCUGGCGGCGUGCCUAAUACAUGCAAGUCGAGCGGUCCCUUCGGGGAUAGCGGCGGACGGGUGAGUAACACGUAGGCAACCUGCCUGUAAGACCGGGAUAACUAUCGGAAACGAUAGCUAAGAGCGGAUAGCUGGUUUUCUCGCAUGAGAGGAUCAUGAAACACGGAGCAAUCUGUGGCUUACGGAUGGGCCUGCGGCGCAUUAGCUAGUUGGCAGGGUAACGGCCUACCAAGGCGACGAUGCGUAGCCGACCUGAGAGGGUGACCGGCCACACUGGGACUGAGACACGGCCCAGACUCCUACGGGAGGCAGCAGUAGGGAAUCUUCCGCAAUGGACGCAAGUCUGACGGAGCAACGCCGCGUGAGUGAUGAAGGUUUUCGGAUCGUAAAGCUCUGUUGCCAGGGAAGAACGCUCGGGAGAGUAACUGCUCCCGGGGUGACGGUACCUGAGAAGAAAGCCCCGGCUAACUACGUGCCAGCCGCCGCGGUAAAAC